rnacentral:misc_RNA from 1 species
GAUGAAGAACGUAGCGAAAUGCGAUACGUAAUGUGAAUUGCAAAUUCAGUGAAUCAUCGAGUCUUUGAACGCACAUUGCGCCCCCUGGUAUUCCGGGGGGCAUGCCUGUCCGAGCGUCAUUGCUGCCCUCAAGCACGGCUUGUGUGUUGGGCCCCGUCCUCCGAUCCCGGGGGACGGGCCCGAAAGGCAGCGGCGGCACCGCGUCCGGUCCUCGAGCGUAUGGGGCUUUGUCACCCGCUCUGUAGGCCCGGCCGGCGCUUGCCGAUCAACCCAAAUUUUUAUCCAGGUUGACCUCGGAUCAGGUAGGGAUACCCGCUGAACUUAUGCAUAUCAAUAAGCGGAGGA